GACCGCAUAGCUCAAUUGGAAGAGCUUUGGGCUAAUAUUCCAAAGGUCGCAGGUUCGAAUACUGCGGUGGCCA